AUGUAGGCUGAAACUCGCCUACAUGAAGCUGGAGUUACUAGUAAUCGCAGAUCAGAAUGCUGCGGUGAAUGCGUUCCCGGGUCUUGUACACACCGCCCGUCACACCACGGAAGUUGGGGGCGCCCGAAGCCACUUAGCUAACCCAUUUGGGAAGCGAGUGUCGAAGGUGAAAUCAAUAACUGGGGUGAAGUCGUAACAAGGUAUC
rnacentral:rRNA from 1 species